GGGAGAGUUAGCCAAAGAAUUAGAUGCAACCUCAGCUACUACUCCGGGACUUCUAGGAGAAGACUGCGAGCUCUCUGGGUUGUGCUCCUGCAGGCGCAGAUUCUGAAGGAUGCAUUUCAUCAUGGAGAAUUAUUAGAGGAAAUGUGAAUAGCUCAACACAGCCCUUCUGUUACUUAUUACCUGUGUGUCUUUGGAGUCAUCAAAGCCCAGUGGAAAGACCAAAGUGAAGAUGAUUGGUGAUGGCCUGGGAUGCAGUGGAUGACCUUGGCAUCUUCCAAACUCCAAACGUUCUGCAGUUCCUACUUCAGCCACUUGCAUGGCCAUAGGAACAAAUUGUUCUUCUCUUCCCAUUCCACUAGGGGGAAAUUCUUAACAUGCUUGAGGUAGACAUCCCCUCAAAUCAUUGACAGGCUUGAGGCCUGUCGGUUACCUUCAACCUGGUUUAUCCCGUCUGCCAAGAUGGUUUUACCAGGGUGUGGCCCUGUGCAUGCUACAACU